rfam:Oryza barthii chromosome 8, whole genome shotgun sequence.
AAUAACUGUAUUUUUACACUGUUCAUCUCCAAUGUUUCACCGUUCGUUUUAUUUAGAUUCUUUUUUGUUAGUAUUUUUAUUAUUAUUAGAUGAUAAAACAUGAAUAAUAGUUUAUGUGUGACUAAUUUUUUAUAUUUUUUUCAUAAAAUUUUUAAAUAAGAUGGAUGGUCAAACAUUGAACACGGAUAGAC